UACAGAGGGUGCGAGCGUUGUCCGGAAUCACUGGGCGUAAAGGGCGCGUAGGCGGUCGGGUAAGUCUGAUGUGAAAUCUCACAGCUUAACUGUGAAACUGCAUUGGAUACUAUCCGGCUCGAGGAAUGGAGGGGAGACUGGAAUACUUGGUGUAGCAGUGAAAUGCGUAGAUAUCAAGUGGAACACCAGUGGCGAAGGCGAGUCUCUGGACAUUUCCUGACGCUGAGGCACGAAAGCCAGGGGAGCAAACGGG
rnacentral:rRNA from 1 species